rnacentral:tRNA from 1 species
GCCUGGGUGGCUCAGUUGGUUAAGCGUCCGACUUCAGCUCAGGUCAUGACCUCGCAGUUUGUGGGUUCGUGCCCACAUCAGGCU